UACAGAGGGGGCAAGCGUUGUUCGGAAUUACUGGGCGUAAAGGGCGCGUAGGCGGCCUGUUAAGUCGAACGUGAAAUCCCCGGGCUCAACCCGGGAACUGCGUCCGAUACUGGCAGGCUUGAAUUCGGGAGAGGGAUGUGGAAUUCCAGGUGUAGCGGUGAAAUGCGUAGAUAUCCGGAGGAACACCGGUGGCGAAGGCGGCUUCCUGGACCGACACUGACGCUGAGGCGCGAAAGCUAGGGGAGCAAACGGG
rnacentral:rRNA from 1 species